AACAAAGCUAAGUGUGCAUUAGGCGGUUUUUGGUCAGAUGUACAACGAAAACCAAACAAAAACUAAGCAUGUAGAAGGCAGUGAUAUUGCUUGUUUGGACGGGAGUUCGAUUCUCCCCGGCUCCACGA
rnacentral:tmRNA from 1 species